UACAGAGGGUGCAAGCGUUUAAUCGGAAUUACUGGGCGUAAAGCGUGCGUAGACGGUUAUGUAAGUCAGAUGUGAAAGCCCCGGGCUCAACCUGGGAAUUGCAUUUGAGACUGCAUAGCUAGGGUGCGGAAGAGGGAAGCGGAAUUUCCGGUGUAGCGGUGAAAUGCGUAGAUAUUCGCAAGAACACCAGUGGCGAAGGCGGCUCACUGGCCCGGUACUGACGCUGAGGAGCGAAAGCGUGGGGAGCGAACAGG
rnacentral:rRNA from 1 species